GACGAACGCUGGCGGCGUGCUUAACACAUGCAAGUCGAGCGAGAAAGGGCCUUCGGGCCUGAGUACAGCGGCGAACGGGUGAGUAACACGUGGGCAACCUGCCCCAGAGACUGGGAUAACGUUCCGAAAGGAACGCUAAUACCGGAUAACGCGUGAUCUGCCAAGUGGGUCACGCCAAAAGGUAGCUUCGGCUUCUGCUCUAGGAUGGGCCCGCGCCGGAUUAGCUUGUUGGUGAGGUAACGGCUCACCAAGGCAACGAUCCGUAGCUGGUCUGAGAGGACGAUCAGCCACACUGGGACUGAGACACGGCCCAGACUCCUACGGGUGGCUG
rnacentral:rRNA from 1 species